AGCAGCCGCGGUAAUUCCAGCUCCAAUAGCGUAUAUUAAAGUUGUUGCAGUUAAAAAGCUCGUAGUUGAAUUUCGGGAUCAAUACGUCGGUCAUGCUUUUUGGUACGAACGGCGUCAUUGGUUUCUCCUUUCUGACGAACCAUGAUGUCAUUAAUUUGGUGUUAUGGGGAGUUGGGACUGUUACUUUGAAAAAAUUAGAGUGUUUAAAGCAGGCUCACGCUUGAAUACAUUAGUAUGGAAUAAUGAAAUAGGACGUUUGAUUCUAUUUUGUUGGUUUCUAGGAUCGACGUAAUGAUUAAUAGGGAUAGUUGGGGGCAUUAGUAUUCAAUUGUCAGAGGUGAAAUUCUUGGAUUUAUUGAAGACUAACUACUGCGAAAGCAUUUGCCAAGGAUGUUUUCAUUAAUCAAGAACGAAAGUUAGGGGAUCGAAGACGAUCAGAUACCGUCGUAGUCUUAACCAUAAACUAUGCCGACUAGGGAUCGGAUGAUGUUAAUUUUUUAAUGACUCAUUCGGCGCCUUACG
rnacentral:rRNA from 1 species